UACGGGGGGUAAGCGUUGUUCGGAAUUACUGGGCGUAAAGGGCUCGUAGGCGGCCAACUAAGUCAGACGUGAAAUCCCUCAGCUUAACUGGGAACUGCGUCUGAUACUGGAUGGCUUGGAUUCGGGAGAGGAAUGCGGAAUUCCGAGGUGUAGCGGUGAAAUGCGUAGAUAUCUGGAGGAACACCGGUGGCGAAGGCGGCAUUCUGGACCGAUACUGACGCUGAGGAGCGAAAGCGUGGGAGCGAACGAGG
rnacentral:rRNA from 1 species